GUGGGCCCUGUGGGCGGAAAACGGCUGCUUCCUGUUUCGCCCCCUCCAACCCCAGACUCCGGUGAGAAGCAAAGUCAACCAACGUUCCCAAACUAGACAUCCCACCGUCUGCCUGGAAGUUUCACCACCAGCCUCCCCGAGCAAAGGCACACACCGGUGUGUGCAUGCGUGUACGGGGCCCAGCCACAGUGGACGGACCCACACUCACGGGAGAAUACUCUGAAAGUGCUGAGAAGAGUUUUGCAACCAUGCUAUCAGCAGGAGGUGAGGACACUGAGGCUCAGAGAGGCUGAGUAAGCGCACCCUAAGUUACCCAGCUUGAAAACGGCCAAACUGAAAUCCCACGGCCAGCAGGACCCAGGAGCCUCUCCUGGGAGCCCACUCCCUCACCUGGAGGAGGAAGGGGCGGGAACCCUGCAUCUUGAGUCUCCCCCAGCUCUAAGGGGCUUCGAUUGUAGUCAAAUUCAAAGUGUAAACAAGAUUUGUUAUGCUUUUAAUUACCUUUGCGGCACUGAUUUGCAUCCGGACAAUGUGCUCAUGACAAAUGGCUUUUUAAUCUAUUCAUUAAAAAUCUGGGAGAGGCAGGUAGGAAGGCUUUGAUGGCAUCCAGUGCAAGUCCCUGUGGGGUCUGCAGGGGCUACCCCGGGCUCUCACUCGGGCCCCUUCUGACUUCCCUG